rnacentral:lncRNA from 1 species
AAAGUGGCCAAGACUGCAGACCUGGCUCUAAGUGGAAGGAUGUGUUGAGGACCAAGCCAUAGACCUGCUGGAUCAAUAGUCCAGCUCAGACUGCUCAGCCCAGGAGGGCACCUGCCCAUCCUGUCCCUCCAGCCUCUGGGGUCAGGUCUGUGCUGCUUCUCACUGCUGGCAAAACCAGCAACACUGCAACAGAGGAUGGGGACUUUUCCGAGCUCUUGUUCAUGACACCAGAUGUGCCUGUGCUUUUUUUCAAGCUCAUUUGAAUGCAUGUAAUGGACUUCUGGCUUUGAAAAAUCAUCAGUUACCAGAUGUCUUUUAAAUUGUCUACCUUGCAGAAUCGUCCGUUACCAGAUGUCUUUUAAAUUGUAAACCCCUGUAGUCAGAGGUUAAAGCUGUGUCAAAACAGUCACUGAUAUGAUUUCAUGCUACACUUUAAAUGCACUAUGAUUUCCUCCAACUCUUUCCCCUUUAAAGUCCUCUCAUGGAAAUUUUAUGGCUCACCCAAGAUUUGCCACCUGCCUAUCGCUAGAGAUUCAGUGAUAAAUGCUUUUAAUAAUUAACAGUGGCAGGGGCUUUGUAGCUGUGUCUCAUGGAUAUCUCACCUCUCAGACAGCAGAAAUAAAAGCCUGUUGUAACAGCAAGAGUAAUGAUCUGGAUGCUGGUGGAAGGUUCCUGCAGCUGCACCAUCAGUGCAGAUCUACACCUGGAGCUGUUUGCAAGCAGGAUUUGUCCUGGGCCCAGUUUGGAGCUCAAGGCAGCUGGAGAAGCAGCGAUGCUUGCAGAGUUCCUAAGAUGUUUGCAAUGACAUAUGAGCCAGCACUGCUGUUCUUUUGCACAAACCCUGUUGGGCCUGCAUUGGUGCAGAGCAAAAAGCAGCCCUGAAGAGCUCUCAGGCUCACAAGGUAAGUACUUCUCCUUGUCCAUUAAUUUCCUCUCCCAGAUUUAAAGUGCAAGGACAAAUAAAUGAUUUUAAGUGACCUCUCGAGACA